GUGGUCACUAAAGCAGCACAUAUAUUAAAAUUGGAAUGAUACAGAGAAGAUUAUUAUGGCCCCUGUGCAAGGAUGACAUACAAAUUAAUGAAGUGCUCUAUAUUUUU
rnacentral:snRNA from 1 species